UUUUUUUUUUUACUUAAAAUAUCCUUUGUGGGCAGCCCCGGUGGCGCAGCGGUUUAGCGCCGCCUGCAGCCUGGGGUGUGAUCCUGGAGACCCAGGAUCGAGUCCCGUAUCAGGCUCCCUGCAUGGAGCCUGCUUCUCCCUCUGCCUGCGUCUCUGCCUCUCUCUCUCUCUCUGUGUCUCUCAUGAAUAAAUAAAUAAAAUCUUAAAAAAAAAAUCCUUUGCCUCCCUACCUUUUAACUGCUCCCUUCCCCCAACAUUUACCCAAUUAAGAGUACUCUUUUUCUUUUUUUUUUGGAAGUCUAACCCUAUUUCCACCUCAUCUAUGAAGAUUUCCUAAAAGGAGUGAAGCAGGGACUCUAGAGCCAGGCUGGGUUUAACUGCCUGUUCUUUGUCUUCUUCUAGUUACAUAGCCUUGGGUAGGUGAUAUAUAUAUAUAUAUAUAUAUAUCAUAUAUAUUCAUAACAGAAAGAGGGAAAUAGACUGCAAAUCAGAAAUCAGGGAACUAGAACACAAACACAGCAAAAUAAUAGAGAAAAAUCAAUGAAACCAAAAGCUAGUUAUUUGUAAAGAUCAAUAAAAUUGGAGAAGACAUAAAUUACAAACACUAGGAAUGAAAUAAAAGGAAUCACCAAUCCUACUGGCAAGACAAGGGUUUUGCUCUCACCAUUUUCUUUUUUUUUUUUUUCCACUAUUUUACUUAUCUAUUUGACAGAGAGAGAGAGAGCAUGAACAGGGGGAGGGGCAGGCAGAGGAAGAAGGACAGGGAGAAGCAGGCUCUCGAUUUCAGGAUCCCGGGACUCUGGGAUCAUGACCUGGGAUGAAGGCAACAUCUUAACCAACUGAGCCACCCAGUUGCCCUGCUCUCACCAUUUUUAUUCAACAAUGUACUAACUAUCCUAGCCAGUACAGUAAUGCAAGAAAAAGGAAAUAAAAGGGAUACAGAUUGGAAAGAGAGGCAAGCCUUUUGUUUUAAGGUAUGAUUAUCAAUGUAAAAAAUACAAGGAUACAAGAUCAAUAUACAAAACUAAAUUAUACCUCCAUAUAUUAAAUGCAGCAAAGAACUGGACAUUGAAUUUUUUUAAAAAGUAUAAUCUAUAAUAGCAUCCAAAAAGGGGAAAUAUUUAGGGAUAAAAGUAACAAAAUAUGUACAAGAUCAGUAUUUUGAAAAGUACACAAUGCUGCUGAGAAAAAUUUCUAAAGAUCCAAAUAAAUGGAAUGAUAUACUAUGUUUAUGGGUCAGAAGAUUCAGUAUUACAAGUUGUCAAUUCUACCUAAAUCAAUCUCUAAAGUCUGUGUAAUCCCAUUCAAUAAUUCAGCAGACUUUUUUUUUUUUCAGCAGACUUUUUUGGGUAGAGUUAAUAUUAAUACGUGGCUCUAAAAUUUGAAUACAAAUGCAAAGAGAGCUGAAACAAUUUUUGAAAAGGACAAAGUGAUUUCAAGAUUUACUAUAAAAGGGACUCCUGGAUUGGCUCAGUGGUUGAGCAUCUGCCCCUGGCUCAGGGCGUGAUCCUGGAGUGCUGGGAUCAAGUCCCACAUCAGGCUUCCUGCAUGGAGCCUGCUUCUCUCUAUGUCUAUGUCUCUGCCUCUCUCUCUAUGUGUCUCAUGAAUAAAUAAAUAAAAUCUUUAAAAAAAUAUUUACUAUAAAGUUAUAGUAACCAAGACAGUGUGGGGACCCCUGGGUGGCUCAGUAGUUGAGUGUCUGCUUUUGGCUCAGGGCAUGGUCCUGGGGUCUGGGGAUUGAGUCCUGCAUCGGUUAAAAGAAAAAAAGGCAGUGUGGUGUUUAUGUAAGCACAGAGAUACAAACCAAUGAAAUAGAGGGUCUAGACAUGAACCCAAAUAUAUAGUCAACUGAUUUUUUUUAAAAGAUGCCAAGAUUAUUCAAUGGAGAAGGGAUAGUGUUUUCAACAAUUAUCUAUGUGCAGAAGCAUGAAUUUUAACCGUUACUUCAUAUCAUACAUAAAAGUUAACUCAAAAUGGAUUAUAGGGGCACCUGGGUGGCUCAGUCAGUUAAGCAUCUGACUCUUGGUUUCAGCUCAGGUCAUGAUCUCAGGAUCAUGGGGCCAAGCCCUGCAUUGAGCUCCAAGCUCAGUGUGGAGUCGGCUUGAGAUUCUCUCUCUCCCUCUCCCUUUGCAUUUCCCCAAACUUGUGCUCUCUCUCACCCUCUCUAAAACUAAAUAAAUAAAGUUUUUUUUAAAAAAAUGGACUUAGUACACUUAAUAGACUCAUAGACUUAAAUGUCAGAGUUAAACCUAUAAAACUUCCAGAAGAGCAAAAAUAUUUGUAACCUCACAUUAGGAAAAGAGUUUUGACAAAUGGCACAAAAAGCAGGGACCAUGAAAGAAGAAAUUGAUAAACUGGACUUCUACAGAAUUUCAAAAUUUUACUCUG
rnacentral:lncRNA from 1 species